rnacentral:rRNA from 1 species
AUGGGCCGCUGCCCUGGAGGCCGAAACGAAGGCUUCUGGUUCCCUGGGCCGUCGUCCAGCCCAUUACAUCGCUUCGCCAAAGUGGGCUUCGUAAUGGGGACCCAGAGGAGCGACCGCGUCCGAUCCAUCCAGUCCCGAUCUCCCCCGAUGCGAGGAGCAGAGAAGAGCGAUCGGUUCCAUCCAGGCGUUUCAUUCGCCAAGGACGAUCGGUUUCUUCCUUCUAGCCUGCAUCAAAUCCACCACGUGCGCUUGCAUAUAUACUUCUUCUCCUCCUGCUUUCCUAUCACCCUUGUUCCUGCAGCACUAGGACCUCACGCAGCCAUGGUGGUGUUCGUCCUGCUUGUGGUCGAUUCAUUCAGGCUUGUUGGUGUAUGCAAAAUGCAACUCAAUCCAAUAUAUGAAAAUGAAAUCUUGGCAAGACCUAUCUCAGAUGUUGAUGGGAAGAAUGAAAGACCACCAAGGAUCAUCAGAAUGGACGCAGCAACGCGCGUCAUUGAUGAUCUAGUUCCACAUGAUGUCAUGUUGUUGUCUCUCUUCCCGGACUCACUUUCACCCAAUUCGUAUACCCAAUGGCCAUUUCGUCGAGUAUAUCUGGGAGAAAAUCCCAACUGUGCACUCAUUCAUGCUCCAAACACUUCAGCAGACAUGACCAUUCAUGUACGGGAGGGGGAGACGUCGAGUCUCGCCUAUUGCGAGACGGUAGCUCUCCUGGCCUCAAGGGAAUCUGUUAGUGGGCGGGGCCAGUGCUGCAAAGCCAGGAAUUCAAAGGAGAAAGCAAGCAAAGCCAAGCAAACAGUGCGACACGCCGCACAGCGCCCAAAGAUUCCGAACGAAGGAGCCUCGCAUUCCCCAUCCCCACACUCACAACGAGAAAGAAGAAAGGAAGAAAGAGCUUUCGGUCUCCUCACUCGCACCCUCCUUUCCUUUUCCUCUGCACGCUCCCUCCCGGCGCCAAAGCGGCUGCAGCUACAGCCACUAGUGGUCAUCAUCACCGCCUCCUCGUGCUCCGCCUGCGCCCCUCCCGCAUUUAAAGCCCGCGCCAACCCCUGCUGCCGCCAUUGCUGCCCCCCUCGUCUCAGCGUGAAGCAAGAGCCAUUUUACAAGCUGCGCGCGCCGAGAGGAGGCUCAGCGAGCUACCUAGCUAGGUGGAUGAGGAUGGAGCGCAAUGGCGGCGUCCCCGCUCCCUCUCUCGCUCUCGUCGCCGUCUGGCUUCUCUGCUGCGCCGCCUCCGCGGCCUACUCCGUGCCGGCCGACCCCAGGCGGCAACCUUCGCCUGGACCUGGACGCGGAGGCUACCGCCACGGCCCUGCACCUGCAGCGUCCCCGCGCCCGCACCACCACCACCGUCAGCACGGGCACUCGCCUGCUCCGGCAUCGCCGCACCACGCUCCGUCGCCGUCGCCGACCGCAGGGGCCGACGGCCUGCCAUCGUCUCGCCCGCCGUUGCCGGUCUACACGCGGGCCCCGGAGCCGCAGGCGACCACCACGCCGCACUUCGGGUUCCCGCUGGAGCCGACGGUGGGCGUCUCUGCGAGCGGCCCAUCCGGAGCACUGCCGAAAAAGGGAGACGGCGAGGGGUACCCGUUCAUCGGCAGCAACCCCACCGUGCCGCUGCCCACCGGCGUCACCGACACCGCCACCGUGCGCCCGCUCCCGGACACGACCCGCGCCGACGACAACGCCAAGGUGGCCGGGCGUGCCGCCGAGCCAGUCCGCGCCGGGGGCGCCAUGAUUGGCCUCCUGAUGGCCGUCCUCUCCACUGUUGCCUUGUUGCUGUCCUCCUGGAGCUAG